UGCAUAGUCGAAUAUGUCUAUAAAUACCCUGCUUUUAUGUGCAAGACAACAACGGCUUAGCGGAACCGUUAUUGUUGUUGCUUGUUGUUUUUCUGGAAGGCACGCGCCUUUUUUCGUCUUUUCACUUGCGUUUACUUUAGUGAAGGAGUUAGAAGUUGAAGCAAACAUACCAGUAAUUUACUAAAUUAAAUUAAAUUAGUGCCUUAAAAGUGAAAAAGAAACGAUUCCCAGACAAGGCUGAUGGUAAAUCUAUAAAAAAAUGGAAGGCUUAGUCGUUCCAUCUUAAGCAUAUUAUCCGAGGAACUUGUUCUGUCCCACAACUUGGAGGGGGGGCAAAACAAGAAGAGGCUCAGACUACCCAAAUUUCGCCCGUGCCUUAUUAAAUGCAAUCGCCCUGGUGGAUCCCUCGGAGCCUCCCGAAAAG